rnacentral:rRNA from 1 species
ACUUAAAGGAAUUGGCGGGGGAGCACCACAACGGGUGGAGCCUGCGGUUUAAUCGGACUCAACGCCGGGAAACUCACCAGUUAAGACAGCUGAAUGAUAGUCGGGCUGAAGACUCUACUUGACUAGCUGAGAGGAGGUGCAUGGCCGUCGUCAGUUCGUACUGUGAAGCAUCCUGUUAAGUCAGGCAACGAGCGAGACCCACGCCAACAGUUGCUAGCUCGUCCUCCGGGAUGGAGAGGACACUGUUGGGACCGCCUCUGCUAAAGAGGAGGAAGGAAUGGGCAACGGUAGGUCAGCAUGCCCCGAAUUAACUGGGCUACACGCGGGCUACAAUGGGUGGGACAAUGGGUAUCGACACCGAAAGGUGAAGGCAAUCUCCUAAACCCAUCCUUAGUUCGG